rnacentral:rRNA from 1 species
UACGUAGGGUGCGAGCGUUGUCCGGAAUUAUUGGGCGUAAAGAGCUCGUAGGCGGUCUGUCGCGUCGAUCGUGAAAACUUGGGGCUUAACCCUGAGCUUGCGGUCGAUACGGGCAGGCUAGAGUUCGGUAGGGGAGAUCGGAAUUCCUGGUGUAGCGGUGAAAUGCGCAGAUAUCAGGAAGAACACCCGUGGCGAAAGCGGCUCUCUGGAACGGUACUGACGCUGAGACGCGAAAGCGUGGGGAGCGAACAGG